GCGCUGUCGUUUUUGAACCAUGACUCCUUGUACUUUCUCAAGCAAGGUGCCAGCGCUGGUUCCAACCAUUACUGAAAAAAGAGUUUGUUACAGGAUGAACUGGAAAGGUGGGCUUGAAGGACAGAAUCUUCAUAAAAUCAAAAGACAUUGUAAACAAGAUAAAGUGAGCCCGCAAAAUAUGAUAGGACGAAAAGCAUAACCUACAACUGUCUACCAGCAACUUCCAGCAAAGGACAAAACAAAGAACCAGCACAAAAAC